AGAGUUUGAUCCUGGCUCAGAUUGAACGCUGGCGGCGUGCUUAACACAUGCAAGUCGAACGGUAACAUGCAACUGAAGUGGCAACAUGGAAGUUGUGAUGACGAGUGGCGAACGGGUGAGUGAUGCAUCGGAACAUACCUAGUAGUUGGGGAUAACUAUUCGAAAGGAUAGCUAAUACCGAAUAAGCUCUGAGGAGGAAAGGUUGGGAUACGAAAGUACCAGUCGCUACUAGAGUGGCCGAUGUCUGAUUAGCUAGUUGGUAGGGUAAAGGCCUACCAAGGCGAUGAUCAGUAGCUGUUCUGAGAGGAAGUACAGCCACACUGGAACUGAGACACGGUCCAGACUCCUACGGGAGGCAGCAGUGGGGAAUUUUGGACAAUGGGGGAAACCCUGAUCCAGCAACGCCGCGUGAAUGAAGAAGGCCCUUGGGUUGUAAAGUUCUUUUAUAACUGAGAAGAAGUCCUAGUUUAAGAGAUGAGGAUGGAGAUAGUAAGUUAUGAAUAAGCACCGGCUAACUACGUGCCAGCAGCCGCGGUAAUACGUAGGGUGCGAGUGUUAAUCGGAAUUAUUGGGCGUAAAGGGUGAGUAGGCGGUUCGGUAAGUUAAUAGUGAAAGCAUUGGGCUCAACCUGAUAAGUGCUAUUAAUACUGCUGAACUAGAGUUAGUUAGAGGAUUGUGGAAUUCCAAGUGUAGUAGUGAAAUGCGUAGAUAUUUGGAGGAACCUUAAUGGCGAAGGCAGCAAUCUGGGAUGAGACUGACGCUGAAUCACGAAAGCGUGGGGAGCAAACAGGAUUAGAUACCCUGGUAGUCCACGCCCUAAACGAUGUUUACUAGCUGAUGGGCAGAGAUGUUCAGUAGCGAAGCUAACGCGAGAAGUAAACCGCCUGGGGAGUACGGUCGCAAGAUUAAAACUUAAAGGAAUUGACGGGGACCCGCACAAGCGGUGGAUGAUGUGGAUUAAUUCGAUGAUACGCGAAGAACCUUACCUGCUCUUGACAUGCCAAGAAUUUUGCAGAGAUGCGAAAGUGCCUUUGGGAACUUGGACACAGGUGCUGCAUGGCUGUCGUCAGCUCGUGUCGUGAGAUGUUGUCUUAAGUGACGUAACGAGCGCAACCCUUGCUAGUAUUUGCCAUCAUUAAGUUGGGAACUAUACUGGGACUGCCGGAGGGAUCCGGAGGAAGGUGGGGAUGACGUCAAGUCCUCAUGGCCCUUAUGAGCAGGGCUUCACACGUCAUACAAUGGUAAGUACAAUUGGAAGCGAAGUUGCGAGAUGGAGCAAAUCUAACAAAGCUUAUCGUAGUCCGGAUUGUAGUCUGCAACUCGACUACAUGAAGUUGGAAUCGCUAGUAAUCGCAGAUCAGAAUGUUGCGGUGAAUACGUUCUCGGGUCUUGUACACACCGCCCGUCACACCAUGGGAGUGGGGGAUACCAGAAGUGAUUAGACUAACUCGCAAGAGGGGUCGGUUACUAAGGUAUGUUUCAUGACUGGGGUGAAGUCGUAGCAAGGUAGCAGUAGGGGAACCU
rnacentral:rRNA from 1 species